rnacentral:rRNA from 1 species
AGAGGGUGCGAGCGUUAAUCGGAUUUACUGGGCGUAAAGCGUGCGUAGGCGGCUUUUUAAGUCGGAUGUGAAAUCCCCGAGCUUAACUUGGGAAUUGCAUUCGAUACUGGGAAGCUAGAGUAUGGGAGAGGAUGGUAGAAUUCCAGGUGUAGCGGUGAAAUGCGUAGAGAUCUGGAGGAAUACCGAUGGCGAAGGCAGCCAUCUGGCCUAAUACUGACGCUGAGGUACGAAAGCAUGGGGAGCAAACAGGAUUAGAUACCCUGGUAGUCCAUGCCGUAAACGAUGUCAACUAGCCGUUGGAAGCCUUGAGCUUUUAGUNNNNNNNNAACGCAUUAAGUUGACCGCCUGGGGAGUACGGCCGCAA